rnacentral:rRNA from 1 species
AUUGAACGCUGGCGGCAGGCCUAACACAUGCAAGUCGAACGAGUGGCGGACGGGUGAGUAAUGUCUGGGAAACUGCCUGAUGGAGGGGGAUAACUACUGGAAACGGUAGCUAAUACCGCAUACCAUCAGAUGUGCCCCGAUGGGAUGAGCUAGUUGGUGGGGUAACGGCUAACAAAGGAGACGAUCCCUAGCUGGUCUGAGAGGAUGACCAGCCACACGGGAACUGAGACAGGGCCCACACUCCUACAGGAGGCAUCAGUGGGGAAUAUUGCACAAUGGGCGCAAGCCUGAUGCAGCCAUGCCGCGUGUAUGAAGAAGGCCUUCGGGUUGUAAAGUACUGUCGGCGGGGAGGCGUUACCCGCAGAAGAAGCACCGGCUAACUCCGUGCCAGCAGCCGCGGUAAUUC